UACAGAGGGUGCAAGCGUUGUUCGGAAUUACUGGGCGUAAAGCGCGUGUAGGCGGCGGCGUUAGUCGGAUGUGAAAAUCCCUCAGCUCAACUGAGGAAGUGCAUUCGAUACUGCGUCGCUUGAAUGUCGGAGGGGAUGGCGGAAUUCCCGGUGUAGAGGUGAAAUUCGUAGAUAUCGGGAGGAACACCUGUGGCGAAGGCGGCCAUCUGGACGACGAUUGACGCUGAGACGCGAAAGCGUGGGUAGCAAACAGG
rnacentral:rRNA from 1 species